rnacentral:sRNA from 1 species
CUGAGAUCUCUGUGAUUGAGCUAGUGUAGACAGUUGAAUCCUCUUCUGAAUCCCUUUGUUUCUUGCAAUCUGAUCCAUGUGCUGAUCAGCUGUCUUGAGUUCGCCUCUGACCACAUUGCACCUGCUGUCUACAUCACAAUAUUGUAUGGCCAGCAACAGUCUCAUCACUUAUUGAGGUGUGCUGUAUGCCCACCUUUUCCAUUUCCUCCCAUUCUUUUUUAGUUAUUGUCGAGAGGUCCAAAUGACCACAGCCCAUUGAAAUCCUCCACCUUCACCUCUACAAGAUGAGAGCCAUUUAUAAGAUUGUGUAGAACCUGUCCCCC